rnacentral:hammerhead_ribozyme from 4 species
AGGCGAAACGGGGAUUUCUCCCCGUCCGGCCAGGUGGCUCCUGGUCGCUGAUGAUGCCAGCCAAAU